GAUGAACGCUGGCGGCGUGCCUAAUACAUGCAAGUCGAGCGAACAGACGAGGAGCUUGCUCCUCUGACGUUAGCGGCGGACGGGUGAGUAACACGUGGAUAACCUACCUAUAAGACUGGGAUAACUUCGGGAAACCGGAGCUAAUACCGGAUAACAUGUUGAACCGCAUGGUUCAACAGAGAAAGACGGUCUUGCUGUCACUUAUAGAUGGAUCCGCGCCGCAUUAGCUAGUUGGUAACGUAACGGCUUACCAAGGCAACGAUGCGUAGCCGAGCUGAGAGGGUGAUAGGCCACACUGGAACGGAGACACGGUCCAGACUCCUACGGGAGGCAGCAGUAGGGAAUCUUCCGCAAUGGGCGGAAGCCUGACGCAGCAACGCCGCGUGAGUGAAGAAGGUCUUCGGAUCGUAAAACUCUGUUAUUAGGGAAGAACAAAUGUGUAAGUAACUAUGCACGUCUUGACGGUACCUAAUCAGAAAGCCACGGCUAACUACGUG
rnacentral:rRNA from 1 species